AGCUAUGGAUGGCAUUCCGUUCACCAUAUCUGAGAAGUUUGUCAACAGACGCCCAGAUGUGCAGCCAGUCAGUGUAAUGGGUAUUAGUAUCAAGUCGGCGGCGGAGAUCGAGGAGGAAUACCACUACACCUUUAACACAGAGUUCAGCAUCAACUCUUAACUGGCCUCCACACACCCAGCCAGCUAACCGUGGAAGACGCACACACACACACACACACACACACACGCACGCACACACUCACACCUGCAGGACAGAGAGAGAAUCAUGGGAUAGCCACCGAGGAUGCUGGGUCUGUAUUCAUUGUAUUCAAUUAGCGUUCCCUUGACCUCGAUGGAUAACAUCAUGAGGCCGACAUUUAGAGAAUCAGAACUGCUCUUAUUACGGAACAUUUGUGGGUCAUUUUUCCUGUAAUUGCCUCAGGAAUCUGGACCUUCCAAAGCAAAAAAAAAAAAAAAGAUAAUCUGUUAGUCCCUGAUUGAAAUUGAUAAUGCUGGAAAAAUUUAUGUUUGUGGUAAAUAGAUCCAUGUUUUAUGUAGUUUUUAAUUAAAACAGUAUUUAUUAUUUAAAUGGCAUUAAAGACAUGUUUGAUCUCAUGUGAAAUGCUGUAUUGAUGUAUUGAAAGUGAAAAAUAGUAGGAUGUGUUUAUAAAGAAACACACAGUCCAUCCUUGAUCCUGGUUGUGUUUCUGUCUUUCAUUUGUCAACAAUGGUCUUGUGUUUUAAUUUUCCUAAUUUUCUGAGGGGGAAUUGUAUAUUUAUAUUUCCUGAUUUUGACUUGACUUUGACAAACCUGGAAAACUUAAACCUUUACACACUUUUUGUUUAUGAAUAUUUCCUGUUCUUUUGUACCCAGGUGGAACAGUCAUGUGACC